rnacentral:lncRNA from 1 species
GCUCGAAGUCUUGACAUUAGGACAUCAGCUAGGAGACUCACACACAUGCCAAUGUCACCACCACUCCUUCCUCCGUUUUUUUUUAAAAGAAUUAAUUAAAAAGGGCAUGUGACCGAAACAUGCACCUCCUUCUCUUUUGGGUCGGUCACGAUCUUUUGAGGGUUUAUGAACCCUAUGAAGGAGGAGGGGAGCAAGGCUCAGAGCAGCAAGCCUUCGUGCUGGUGCCUCUUUCGAUAACAACACCAUCCCAAAAAA